CUUUCAACAACAAAACACCAGACCCGAAGCCUUCAUCUUCUCCAAAUCCACGUCUGCUUUGCCCUAAAAAAACAGGAUCGCCAUCUUCUCGACCAUAUCGUUUCCUCACCCUCCCUGUCGUACGGUGUAGCCUCCCCCUCCUCUUCUCAACUUGGCCAUCGUCUGAUUCCUCUCAAGUUUCAAGAUGAAGAUGGCGCGAUGGGCAGGGAGAUAUGAAGGGGUCUGCAGAUUGAAGGAAAAAUAGUAGACAGGUGUGGCCACAGUUCACCUCACACAAUGCAGGCAAGUAACCUGUAUCAGAUUGAAUCCAUGCUCUGUCCUAAAUCCCAUUGAAUCCAGGAAGUUGGUGUUGGUAGAUGUCUAUCUGUCAGCAGUCAGCACUGCACACCACUAUAUUCGGUACUAUAGAAGCGGAGGAGACGCCAAACAUAUGGUAAGCAUCAUCUCCAGCGUCACCAUGUAAUUUGUGCAGUAGGACUCCUACAUGAGCAGUUGAACACAAUCACACACCUAGCAAAAUCUAUGAUUGUCUGCAAGAUAGUUCAGAUUGAGGUUCAUAUUGGGAGGGUUUCAGAUGUUUUUCCAUGUAAGGUGCAUCUCUACAUCCCUAAUAAGCAUGCUUGGUUGCUAACAUCUGGUAAUGCCAAAUUUGUUUUGUACAUGUCCAUCUAUGAGCAGUCUGAUUAAGGGUUAUCUGUAGGAAAGAUGAUGUUUCUAUUCUCGCGGAGCUACCACAGAUCGCCAUAGUAGGGCUUUGUUUUCUACAACUGCAAUUAAAACAUCGGUCGACAAGUUCAAUUUUAUACCAGUUCACUUUGAUUCUUAUAGAAGGCUCAGCGUAGGUGUUUUUCUAUGUUACCCAAUGUUACCUGAUGUCUGAUGGGUUUAGUUGGCAUUACCUAUGUAGAUGACUUAGAUGUUGUAUAUAUUGUUUCCUCUAAAUACACAAUAAAUCUUCAGUUAUCUGGAUGGUAUGUACUCUUAGUCUACCUUGCAUUAGCCAAAGAGAAUGGUUUUUUGGAGCUAGGUAUGAUGCAUAGACAUAGAAUAUUUUCGUACACUGUCAGGAUAAUGUCUAGAGUGAAUUCCGCCUUUUACCCCCUAUUUUGUCAUUAUUGACACUAAUUACCCCAUUUAGCGAGAUUUCAUCCGUUUUACCCCAUUUAGUAAAAGUCUUGCCACAAUUUACCCUGUUUAAAAUUUAUGAUCGUUUUGACCAAUGAGUCCCAAUUGUAAGGUCCAACUAGCAUAUGCCACAUCAGGAUGGUUUUUACUUAUUUUUCUGCACACCGAACCGCAUCGCCUAGCUUCUCCUGACCGGUCAGGCUCGAUAUGAUCGCACCAGAGCAGCUCGCCGGAUGGCCAAGUCGCCCAGGUCGGGCCGCACCACACUGGCCUCCAUUAUCCAUGGCAUGCAUCACACACAUGAUCCUGCCCUAGUCUGGCCCAAAACCACUGCCUCAUUCGUUAGGAGGGGGUAGGACGACCGACGACGUAGGCGUCGAGCGGCAGGCAAGGCUUCAAGGAUUGGCCGCCGGCGAUUGGCAGAGCAAGCGGCAGUCAGUACGGCAAUCUUCUUCCCUCCCAUGCAUGGACGCAUCCUCUGUUUCUCACCCCUGGUGGUUAGGUUUUUUGUGGCUAGAUUUUCUCUCAUUCUGGGAUGCAUAUUAGAUAGGUUUAGGCUACUCGUUUCUAGUUCGAAAAAGUAUUGCGAUGAGAUGACUAUACUUGAUCAGCGUGGCAUGCUCCCAUUGAAUAAAUUAUAGGAGAAAUAGUUACUGAUAUAAUCUGAAAUCAUAUAUGUUUUUUUUUCCAGUUUUAUCAUAUGGAAAGUAUGCAUGAUUCUGGGGAUAUUAACAGUGGUGUAAAUAUACUACUUCACUAACUCUCAUGCACGUAAAUAUAUGAAUACUUAGUCAAGCAUGAACUAGGUAAGUGAUGUUUUAGAAGUAUCCUUUUCCGUGGUAACAAAUACGUCGACCCGUAGAGAGUUAGUAUGUUUCCUGAGCCGCACUGGUGUGAUCAUAUCGAGCAUGGACGGUCAGGAGGAGAAGCUAGGGCGAUGCUAGCUGGACUUCAUAAUUGGGACCCAUUUGUUAGAAUUUCACAAAAUUUUAAGAGGGUAAAUUGUGGCAGCACUUUUGCUAAAUGAGGUAAAACGGAUGAAAUCCUGCUAAAUGGGGUAAUUAGUGUCAAAAUUGUCAAAAUAGGGGGUAAAAGCCGGAAUUCACUCUAAUGUCUAAUAGAGUACUUUCUGCAUGCGAAGAUACUUUGAGUAGUCGAUCAGCUUGCAGGUUGUAUGUGAAUGAAGAUCUUUCAGAGACCAAUUUGUUGUUUUGAAAGCUUUACCAAGGUGGAGAAUCAGUUGGGCACAUCAAACCUCCUGCAUCCUAUUCCAGUUGCUGGAGACAAGAACUAUUACUCCCUGGUAGCUGGCCUAAAAAACAAUAUGAUAUGCAGGAUGAACUCCUACCACAUGUUCGCAUAAACACAAUUCAAGAGGAAUUGGCG